AAAAAGGCAAACCCUAGGUUUUCGUGUCCAACUUUGACUAUCCGUCUUAUAUGAAAUUUUUUUAUAAUUCAUAUUUUCAUUGUUGUUAGAUGAUAAAACAUGAUUAAUAUUUUAUGCGUAACUUGUCUUUUUAUUUUUUUCAUAAUUUUUUUAAAUAAGACGAACGGUCAAACAUUGGAUACGAAAACCAGGGUUUGUCUUUUU
rnacentral:pre_miRNA from 1 species